rnacentral:rRNA from 1 species
UACGUAGGGUGCGAGCGUUGUCCGGAAUUAUUGGGCGUAAAGGGCUCGUAGGCGGUUUGUCGCGUCGGGAGUGAAAACCCAGGGCUCAACCUGGGAAUUGCAUUUGAGACUGCAUAGCUAGGGUGCGGAAGAGGGAAGCGGAAUUUCCGGUGUAGCGGUGAAAUGCGUAGAUAUCUGGAGGAACACCGGUGGCGAAGGCGGCGUUCUGGACUGCAACUGACACUGAGAAACGAAAGCCAGGGGAGCAGACGGG